rnacentral:tRNA from 1 species
GGAAGCGUGCCUGAGAAAAUAAGGACUACCUUGAUAGCGUAGACACGGGACCACAAAACCCCACUUC